GAACAUCCCUGGUCAUCUCUACUGCCUCUGAUCUGGCGGACUCACUAAACAGAGAACAUCCCUGGUCAUCUCUACUGCCUCUGAUCCGGAGGACUCACUUGAGUACUGUGAAGUACCCCUCCCCCUGUCUGCGCCUCUCCUCUUGUGGCUCUGAAGGACCAGGGUUGUUAGAAGCCGGAGCCUCUCCUCUCGUCUCAUCUCCAGAACCUGAGCCCUAGGACCAUACGUCAGGACUACCGGGCAUGAUGA